CUGGAAUGCCCCUUUCACUGAUGCCUUUAGGUAUGUAGCACUACCUCUUCUCCCCUGCCUCCGCUGCUGGAGUAGGAGAUGCCGCAGCUUUCGUCAGCAUCACCGCCCGCUACCUUAAUGUUUACAGCUGAUCGCGGGAGCAGGGGCACCUUAGCAGCGCACUCUCCGGAGCGGAGCAGACAGCUUGGGGAUAGAGGACAGGUGGGCCACCUCCAUGACCUUUCCUGCCUCUUCAGCCCCGCCGCUCCAUUCUCCAGCGCUAAAGCUUCCUUGUCCGGCUGCGCUACCCUGACUCCCCGGCCACCGCUGUAAUGUUUACAGCUUGUUACAGCUCUCAGCAGCCGCCGGAGAAGCCCAGGUGCCAGCACUGCAAGGGGGAUCUGCAGACUGAAGUGCCGCCGACGGGGAGCGCCUUUUAUACGCUCUCUUCUAACGGCACAUGGGGACCCCUUCUUUGCACACGGCCUCCUUCACCUGUGCGAGGUGACCCCUCUGCACACAGUACAAUCUACCUGUGCGCGGGGGUCCGUCUUCACUUGGCAGCUAUUAUUAUUUAGCCUCGCGCAUCCUUUGCAGUCAGCCCUGUAAUCACGGCACACACAGGCUGUCUCCCCUGCCUUGUAUUACUAUGCUACACCUCUCACUCCCUUCUGUAUACCCCGUACAAUAAAUACACUUUAAGAAACCUCUUCCUUCAUAUAAAUUCAUAUUAUAUACACAUACACUAUUAUGGUCAAUACUAAAUAUAGUUUAUAUUCCUUAAAUACUUUUAUAUACAUAUUAUAUAUACAUAUUCAUACAAAUGAAAAAUGACCUAUAACCCUGUUACAAUUAUAUUAUGCAAAUUAUAAAUGUUAUGUCAAUGCUGAUUGGUUGCCAUGGGCAACUUCUCCACUGGCUCACUUCUCCACUUUUAUCACUGCUUAGUACAUGUCCCGCAAAGUCUUUUUUCAAGUAGGCACCGUAAUCACAGAGUUAUAUUCAUUAGCUCCGGUAAAACUCCCUUUUUCUUCUCUAAAUCAGGCCCACUGCCACUUGUAUGAGUGAUUUGCUAUAGAGUCCCUGAUAACACCUAAGGGCCCAGUGCUCAGUAGCUCACAGCUCUGCCGCUAAACUAAUGCUCUUCUAUCAGAAGUCUACAGCAAGAAUCUGCUCGUAUUCAGAGUCACAUGGUCAUCUGCCAAUGCACCACCAACAGUCUAACAUCUGCUAAAAGCCCUACUGUCACCACUACAGUACCACAUGCUAGAUGUGGCCACACAUGGACCCGCAUGCCUUAAAUGCACAGAUGGAUGAGGACUGUGCUUAUUUGAAUGGGCAGAGAUACACAGAGAUACAUGGUUUGGUAGCUAUGUGCCUGAUUCAGCAUACCUCCCAACUUAUGCUUGUUUUGGGUUGGGACCUUUGCACACCGGAGGUGCGUGCGAUCCUAAAAGUGGGUGUAGCCUUGGGCUGGAGGGAGCAUGGCCUCAGCUGAGUGAGUGUGGCCUCAAAGCACAACCCUGUAUUUAGCAUUUUGCACCCCCGAGCAGCUGGCCAGGCCCUGGCUGACCUCCCUGCACUGAAUAGAUGCCGUGCACGUGCGCACGGCAUCUAUUCAGGGAUCACUUGCUGCUUUGCAGAGCCGGCGAUCAAAAGCUCCCUCAACUGCCUAUACGCCGGCGGGGCCAGUGUUUUCAUCUUCUGACAUUAUUUAUUUGCCUUGCAAGUGAGAAUGGGGCGGCCGUUCUUAGUAAGUUUAGUCUUAGAUGGCCGAUGCUGCACCAGUCGCAACGGUGAUCCGGUGCUGCAUCUUCUUUUUCCUUCAGACACUUCCAGCAGGCUUUAGCAUAAUUUUACACGGCGUCUGCUAUGCAAAAAGGUCCAUUUCUGUAUCAGCUCCUGCUGUAUGUUCUGCUGUACAUAAAUAUAUUUUCAUAAAGGGACAGACAACAAAUACAUACCAGUGACUGCGUGGGCUUCUGCAGAACAGACACUUUUUUCUUCUUUUCAGGCCACUUAACUAAAUCAUCACCAUCAUCAUCAUGUUUUAUUUUUUUUAAUCCAACCUAAUUCCAGAUCACUUUUUUUCUCCAUUUAUUAAUUAUAUAUGCUUUUAUUAAUUGUUUUUCUAUCUUUAUUUCAACGCCCGAAUGGAACCAAAAUAAUCUCCUGGGAUGGAGCUGAAGCACACUGCAGAAAAUCAGGUCUACAUACAUACAUACAGUUAAACAAGACACUUGAUGUUGAAGCCGUACUUUAAGCUGGCUCUGCCUCCCCGGCUGUCACUCACCACAGGCCGCUCCUCUCCUCCUCCUACUAUCUGCGUCACUGCCUGCCGCCUCGGUGUAGCCGCUCGUCAGUGCAGCUGGAGUUUCUCCUUCUCUUCUAGCCGGCCGGACAAGCCGCUGCUGCUGCCAGAGGGAGGACCCUUCACUGCCACUCCUGGAUGUCGAGACCACCGCAGGAUAUGGUAUAAGUGGAGGCUGAUUGUUGGAGGUAAACUUGGUGCUGGUGUGCUGCUUACUGACCUUGAUCCUGUCU